GGGAGGAGAAACAAGAGCUCACUUCCCCCUCCCCCUCCAACUGUCACAACACCACAGAUGGGGGAUGGGCUCUGGGCCUGGCUCCUGUUCCACUGUGUGUCUGGCCAGGAGCCGUCCCUUCUUGAAUGGUUCCUAGCACUCAGCAGAAGGGGACAGAAUAACCUUGGGCAGGACUGAUGCUAAGCAGAUGCCACUGCUAAAUGCUGACAGAACACAUGACUUCAUGCUAAAGGCUUCACACUGGCAAACUACUGUUUGCAUCUUUCUGUGCAAAGGAUCAUACCCACAUUUUCAACAUCGUUGGACUGGACAAGCUGAAUGGCAAGAAAAACAGAAAGCCAUGGCUUUGGUUUACAUUCGGAAUAGUCACACACCUACUGGCUUACGGGCAGCUGAAUAGACUGCAGAUUUCUGGGACAAUUGGCCACUCCUACCCACUCCCCCAUUAAAAGAAAAACGUAACAGAGUAGACAGUGGUGGGAUCUACAGUAAGUUUAUUUUCAGAGAAACCAGGCUGCAAGAAGUCUACAUGAUUGGAGCAGAUGGUGGUUAUCUUUCCAAAAGGUGAAGCCUGAGUCCAGCUGGCAGCACACAAAGGUUAAAACCAAAGCCCAGAUAUCUGCUUUCCUGGUUCUGCCCUGCAUUGCCCACUCAUGAUGUGAAAUGCGAGACCGCACAACAGUACUGAACGAAGAGGUCCAACCAGGCAGAGGCAACAUUCCGGCCAGGAGACAAUCAAUCAUUGAAGAGGAUGCUGAUCUAAGAGCCAUUACCUACUCUCUGCUAUUCUUUGAUGAGAAAGGUGAGGGUAUGGGAUGAGCAGUAAAUUAUAUUCUUAGUUCUUCAAGUAAGUAAACUCUAUAGGAUAGGGCAGGUGGCCAAUCAAGCAGUAGAACAGGAUGAAAAUCUAGGCUAGUUAUAGAUCUCUGUGCCUAAGGAAAAGAACAGAACUUAAAAUGCCCAAAAGUACUGG